ACCCCUGUGAGAAUGCCCUAUCCCUCCCCGCCCGGAAGUAAGGAGCAGGUAUCAGGCGCAUACUAAUAGCCCACGACACCUUGCUUAGCCACACCCCUAAGGGAAUUCAGCAGUGAUAAAUAUUAAGCUAUAAGUGAAAACUUGACUUAACUAUGGCUAAGAGGGCCGGUAAAUCUCGUGCCAGCCACCGCGGUUAUACGAGAAGCCCAAGUUGACAGCCACCGGCGUAAAGCGUGGUUAAGGUAACACAGACAUUAAAGCCGAACGCAAACUACACUGUUAUACGCCUUCGAAAAUAGAAGCUCGAUUACGAAAGUAGCUUUAUACAUCUGACUCCACGAAAGCCAGGACACAAACUGGGAUUAGAUACCCCACUAUGCCUGGCCCUAAACAUUGAUAGCUUUCUACACCAGCUAUCCGCCUGGGAACUACGAGUAGAACUUGAAACCCAAAGGACUUGGCGGUGCUUUAGACCCAUCUAGAGGAGCCUGUCCUAGAACCGAUACUCCCCGUUCAACCUUACCUUUUCUUGCAAAAACAGCCUAUAUACCGCCGUCGUCAGCUUACCCUGUGAAGGUCUUGUAGUAAGCGAAGUUAGUUCUAACCCCAUACGUCAGGUCGAGGUGUAGCUUAUGUAAAGGAAAGAGAUGGGCUACAUUUACUAUUGUUAGUAAAUUACGAAUGAUGCCUUGAAACCAAGCAUCUGAAGGUGGAUUUAGUAGUAAGCAAAAAGCAGCGUGUUUUGCUGAAACCUGGCUCUGAAGCGCGCACACACC
rnacentral:rRNA from 1 species